AUUGAACGCUGGCGGCAGGCCUAACACAUGCAAGUCGACCGAGUGGCGGACGGGUGAGUAAUGUAUGGGGAACUGCCUGAUGGAGGGGGAUAACUACUGGAAACGGUAGCUAAUACCGCAUACCAUCAGAUGUGCCCAUAUGGGAUUAGCUAGUAGGUGGGGUAAAGGCUCACCUAGGAGACGAUCCCUAGCUGGUCUGAGAGGAUGAACAGCCACACUGGGACUGAGACACGGCCCAGACGCCGACGGGAGGCAGCAGUGGGGAAUAUUGCACAAUGGGCGGAAUCCUGAUGCAGCCAUGCCGCGUGUAUGAAGAAGGCCUUCGGGUUGUAAAGUACUUUCAGUCGGGAGGCGUUACCGACAGAAGAAGCACCGGCUAACUCCGUGCCAGCAGCCGCGGUAAUAC
rnacentral:rRNA from 1 species